rnacentral:rRNA from 1 species
AUGAUUAUACCACAACCGUUAAAGCACCCCCACCAGCAAUCUCUGCCUCUUCCCCGCCUCCAACGGCAGCACCUGAACCGUCAACCCGCUCUAGCCCAACCACUUGUCUUCCACCUCCCUCGGUCGGCGUUGUCACAUCACAGCUCUGCCGUGUGUCCUGCCCAAGACGCCUCCAACUUUGCUCGACCUCCUGAUGUACUCGCCGCCAGGGAGAUUCCUUCUCCACCGGGGCCCGUCACCAGCCAGCAUAAAUACCCACCCCCUCCCCUCCUCCAAUCCUCACAACAGCUCCCAGGAACGGAACCAACAAAUCCACACCCAAUCUCGUCUCCGAUCGACUCGAGAGCUCGUCGAAUCCUCCUCCCCCAUCGUCUCAAGGGCAUUCCCCCGGACCAGCAGCGCCUGAUCUUUGCUGGCAAGCAGCUGGAGGACGGCCGCACCCUGGCCGACUACAACAUCCAGAAAGAGUCCACCCUUCACCUGGGCAUUCCCCCGGACCAGCAGCGCCUGAUCUUUGCUGGCAAGCAGCUGGAGGACGGCCGCACCCUUGCAGACUACAACAUUCAGAAGGAGUCCACCCUUCACCUGGUGCUCCGUCUCCGUGGUGAUUUGGAUGAUGCAAUUUUAUUCUUCUAUCUUGUGGAUAAUGCUGCGGAUUGUUUCUUAAUGCAAGUUAUCCACGGAAGCUUCUUCCAUCUCAAAAUGCUCUAA